AGACCCAGCCAAUCACUUAGCUCCUCAUAACAAGUCUAACUGGCUCUGGGAAGCUGGAAGGGCUGCGCUGGAACACAUAGAUGAGAUAUUCCACACAAUAAUCUGCUUAUCUGGAAUCGCUUUGCCUGAAGAGGCCAGAGGAAAAAGCACAGCUUCAUUGUCUCGGGGCAAGAGGUGCAGGUGAUCUGGGAUCAACGCGGCCGCACCUGGAGCAGGAUAUUUUCCUGGCUUGGCAAUUCCGACCGUGCCGGCAAUUAAAGGACCAGAGCCAGCCCAGCCGCCAAAGGGCAACUCCGGCAGCCAAGGCUGAGCACUGCUGCCUAUGGUGACCAUGUGAGAAUGGAAACUUCUCAGGAAGCCACUCGUUAGAAUUGCUGUCUUUUUACUCACAUUAACAUAGAUUAUUUAGUCUGAAAUGGAAAACCAUCUCUUAAGGGGCUUGCUAGAAAGAAAGCCAAGAACCAAGAAAUAACCCACCAGUGAACACAUCAGGCCUCAUGGAGCAUGACAACAACGAUGUACAGAAGGCAAGCAGGGCUGGGAAUCCACCGAGUUACCACCAUCUCCUCCCCGGAGCAGGUCAGCCAGGGUGCACAGUUCUGUGCCACGUUCUCUGCAGGGGCUGCCACGCAUGGCUACACAACUUUUACAACCACCCAUGAGACCCAGCACUGUGGCUCUGUAAGCCUGCCUGCCCCCAUCGAAGGCAUAGGCCACCAUCGAGCAAGGAAAGAUUCCUCACUCCCUCACUCACCCACAAGAGUGGUAAAUGCUGGCCGGCGCCGCAGCUCAAUAGGCUAAUCCUCCGCCUUGCGGCACCGGCACACCAGGUUCUAGUCCCGGUCGGGGCGCUGGAUUCUGUCCCGGUUGCCCCUCUUCCAGGCCAGCUCUCUGCUGUGGCCAGGGAGUGCAGUGGAGGAUGGCCCAAGUGCUUGGGCCCUGCACCGCCAUGGGAGACCAGGAUAAACACCUGGCUCCUGGCUUCGGAUCAGCACGGUGCGUCGGCUGUGGUGGCCAUUGGAAGGUGAACCAACGGCAAAGGAAGACCUUUCUCUCUGUCUCUCUCUCUCACUGUCCACUCUGCCUGUCAAAAAUAAAUAAAUAAAUAAAUAAAUAAAUAAAUAAAGAGUGGUAAAUGCCACACACUGUCCCUCAAAAGCAGUUUAGCCAUGGAUGCAUUUGUAAUCAGCAGCAACUACAGCCAGUCGGGUGGCUCUGGGUCGCACGGUCCAUAGGACUUUGUUCUUUUUGUUUAUUUAGUUUUUGCCAUGAGAAUGAAAUCACAGAAAUCAGAGGAGUGGAAGGAAAACAGAUUAUGCGUGAGUCACAUGUGCGCCAUAAAACACUGUGGCUCUUGAACUUCAUGAGUGAAAGGAUUUCCCAAGGUGCUUGUUUAUGGGGUAGCUCCCGGGCUCUCUCUACAGGACACUGAUGCCAUAGACCCGGCAUGAAGACCAGCAAUCUGCAGUUAUGUGCCCACCUCCAUCCCAUCCCCAUGCUUGUAAGUCAGUCACCCUCAGAAUACUUCUUGAGAAAUAUCAAAACAGGGCAUGCAAACUGCUUAACACAAAGUCUGGAAUGUUCCAAUUUCUCCACAUUUUCUAACUAUAAUUAUAAAGAAUCAGAAAUGGCCCCAAACCCAUACAUUCUACUUUGACUUGACUUAUUGCUAAGUUAAGGCUGUACACAGGUGUGGCAGUGUGGUUGCAAGCCAGAUGUUGUAGUGCAGGGAAGAGAAGUACAAAGAUAGACACAGGCGAGGACAGGGACAGCCUUGCAAGAAUUUUCAACCUCUGAUGAGAACCACUGAGCCCCGGGUACUCCCUAUUCCAUAGCAUCCAUAGCUCCGAAGAGAUGGACUAUUUGAAAUAAUUACCUACAGACUAGAAAGUCCAAAAGAACAAGAACACUCAAGAUAACUGUAUUUUUCAUUCUUUGCUUCAGACACAGAAAGCAAAGCCAAAGGUUCCUCGUUUAUUUUGUAGAACACAGCAGAUCCAUGUGAACAAGGAGUUUCACAAUGGCGGAGUCCAGCCGUGUUAGCUCCCUCUAGGAGCACCCAACUCCAAACCUGAUUGGCUGUUGGGCUCCUCUGAGUCCUGGCUCUUCCCCUUUGCUGAGGAUGUGGGUGGGCCCAGCAGGU